rnacentral:tRNA from 3 species
GGCCCAGUAGUUCAGUUGGUUAGAACGCCAGCCUGUCACGCUGGAGGUCGACGGUUCGAGCCCGUUCUGGGUCG